UUUUUUUGUUUUUUUUGACAACUAGUUAUUUCUGACAAUAAGAUUUCGAAUAUUUUUUUUAAAAUAUAUUGUUUUUAUUUUAAAAUACGCAUUUUAUUGAAAUCACACUAUUGUGUCAUUUUUAGAUAUGUUAAACAGGGUUUUAUUCAUUAAUAUCACCCGGUGCUUUUUUGUUAAUG